CCUCUUCCCAUUCCGAACAGAGAAGUUAAGCCCGUCUGCGCCGAUGGUACUGCAAUGCGAUGCGGGAGAGUAGGAGGUUGCCCAUU
rnacentral:rRNA from 1 species